CCCAGUAAGGCACUCUCCAAAAACGGUUGCCUGAAAUGCCUCCAGGUACCCCUCAUCUGAUCCCAGCUUUAUUUCCACCCAUCCAUAGAGGUUUUUAAAACGCAAGUGAAGGAAGGAGUCUGUCCAAGGAUGAAAAGUUAAGGGAAACAAGAUCGUUUUCUUUAAGCUGUUUGCAGAAAGGUGGUUCUCGUCAUUUCCAGAUUCCCCGAACAGAUAAUCUCCAAGGUAUCAGUGGAGUUAAACGGACGGGACUUUUUCCCUCCCCCUCCAUUCUCCAAGCAUCAGUCCAAGAGGAGGGAGGGGACGAAAGAAGGACUGGGAGGAGGAAAAGUGGAAGAAGCUAGAAGAGCAGGGUGCUGAGGGGAGCCCCGGGCGUCGGCCCUCGGGUGGACUGGCGGUCUGGAAUCCGCCCUGAAGCUGCGCCCCAAGCUGCAGCGCGCAUUCAGCUCGCCGCCCAAGAGCAGCCCAGACGCGCUGCUGUGGCCAGGCAGGACCGCGGCGGGCUAGGGACCAGAGCCCCACAGCUUCACUCCGGGGAAGCCAAGUUGAGAUGGAAUUGGACUGUGAACAGCUGACUAAUUUCUCACAAGAUCAGGAGGUGAAGUGAGGAUGAAAACCAACAGUUGAAUGUGCCACACCACGGCAUCAUCAAAUGCAACUCAGAACCCUGUAUGUUCUCCUAGACCUCUGGUGUUGCCGUUAUGUGGGAACCAAGAAUUUAUUUCCUCAAACAAUUCAAGGUUUUGCUGCAGAAGAUUUAUGCUGUGUCUUAAGGUAGCCAUUUGUCUCAAUAGUUCUCCAGAUCUAAUUUUUCUUUUUUAAAUAAUAAUAAAAAUUAAAGAUAACUUAUUAUUUUGUCUUUUGUUUUCUUGGAGCUGAGGGAGGACCAACCCAGGACCUUGUGUUUGCUAGGCAAGCGCUCUACCACUGAGCUAAAUCCUCAACCCUCUAAUUUUUCAAUACUGUAAUAUGCUUUGCUUCAUGUUAUUUUUAUUCAACAACUCCCCUUGGGUCAUAACUAAAAUUUUUUAUGAUAAUAGUGACCUUUUUCUCACUUACCUUUUCUAUCCCUGUUCUUCUCAUUCUCUUAUGAAAUCAGCUACACAUUGAGGUGAGGUAGAUAGAUAGAUAGAUAGAUAGAUAGAUAGAUAGAUAGAUAGAUAGAUAGAUAGAUAGAUAUGGUAUAUGGCUACUGAAACAAAGAUACUUAUCUUUUUCUACUUCAUGCUUCCUUGGUCUUCUCAUAAAGUUCCCAAUGCCCUUCCUGUAUAAUCUCUUUAAUUAGAAUGCCUUUUUCUGCCUGCAAUUCCAGUAAGUUCUCAGUAUUUCUAAAAGAAGUACUCUAUAGAAACUGCAAAACUUGCCUUCCUCUCCAGAAGCCUGUUUCUUGCCUGAGUGUUCCCAGUGCAUACUGGUGACAUAUCAUCUAUGACAUAUCUAUAAGCAUGCAUCUUGUCUUUGUGCAUCUGUCUUAGUAUCUGCCACACAAAUCCCAUGACUGGGUAAGAGUGUGCUUGAAGGUCCAUAAGUAAUAAAUCAUGGAUGGUGUCAUCAUUAUCCUUUUGUCCUUAACUAUUUUUCCUUCUCUAGACAGUCACAGUCCUAUCUGAAUUGUCUUUGUCACACUGUGUUGUUGCUUUGUAUUCUGUAUCAUAAAUGAAUUUGAUUUUUAUGCAAGCACUAUUUUCACAUAAUCCUGAACACCAAGAAUUAAAGCCUGGGUGAAUACUUGAUUAAGCAUACUCUUAUUUGCAAAAAAAACUGGGUGAAUACUUGAGUAUAUAUUCUCACAUUUGCAUAAAAUCCUGGGUGAAUAUUUGCGUAUACAUACUCUCAUUUGUGCAAAAAUAGCAUUCUGUAAUUGAUAUUUCAAAGUUGAAAAUUUUCAAAGUCCUUGUAGAAAGAAAGGCCUUAGUUAAAUUAAUCAUAUUUUGCCAGUUUGUUGAAUAAGCUGGAAAAAAAUCAAUUGUAGUUUGAACAACUUUCAAAAUAAACAUUUAUAAUUCCUUCCCAAGCAAUGUUCUUUUGUAUCUUAAGACCAAAUUAAGUAAAUAAGUAAAAAUAAAUAGGUCCUUCCAUGAUGGCCCUGAGAGAGAUGCCGCAUUUGAAAAACCAUGAGGGGUCUAAACAUAUUUGGCGUCUGGUUGAUGCCAGGAGCCAGCCUGACCUGGAAUAGUUUGAAGCGGGACACAGGUUGCUUUAAAGACUGAUGGUCUUCAAACAAAGUUUUAAAAACUAAUCAUCUCUGGCCUUCUAACUCCCUAACUAUACUGAAUGCUUGCUGAUAAAGUCUUAAAAAUAAUCCUAAACACUUUCUUGCUAUUCCAUGGUUAAAAACCACUGGCUUGGGCAAUUAACAUCAAUUGUCUAGCAAGUGGGGGAUUAAGUAAAAAAUGUAUUGCUAGGGCUCCUUUAUCUGGCCAAGCAGCCAAAAGCCUUUCAGUGGCCUGACUAGUUAAAGUUUUGUGAACCAGAGAAAAAGGAAAGGAAAAGAAUUAAGGUGCUUUAUGCAGGCAAAUACUCAUACAUGCAUUUACAUUUUCAUUCACAUUCUCAUUUACAUAUUAACACAUUCACAAUUUUUGGGGGGCUAACCAUAUGUCUUACUCCACAAGUAUUCAUGUAUACUUACAUAUAUGCACAUACCUACAUACAUCAUAUAGAAAAACAGACAUAUACAUUUAGAUGGAUGGAUGCAUGGAUGCAUGGAUGGAUGGACAGAUUGAUGGGGAAGAGCCCCUCAAGCUAAACUAUCCAACCACUAUCUAUGUUAGUUUUGUUUUGUUUUUUGGAGCUGCGGACCAAACCCAGGGCCUUGUUCCUGCUAGGCAAGCGCUCUACCACCUAGCUAAAUCCCCAAUCCCUCCAACCACUAAUUUUAUUUCCUUUCUCUGACCUUUUUAUACUUUCUUAGACAAAAAAAAAGUUCUUUAGAAAAUUACCUCAGAGAUAAAAUGUUACAUAAAAUGGGAAUUACGGAAGGAUGUUGAUAUUACAUUCAAAACAGUGUUUCAUUCUAUAUGCUCAUUAUAACUUCAAAGCAACCGUUUUUGCAUGGCCUUGCCUUAUCAUAGUUCACACCUGUGGUUUUAUCCUUGGACCUAAAUGUUUUUCUUGAACACAAAUUUGUCCCAAGUCUAUUUCUUUUUAGUGUGAUUAUGAAAGUUCACUGUAUUUCUUAUUAUGCAACCUUUACUCUAUGAGGAAUGGGCACAUUCUAUUCUUGAUUCUAACUUUAUUAUAUCUUUAGCAAAACAACUAAGACCAUCUUGUAAAACUGUCUUCCUAAAAUUAUUUGAAUCAAAUAGCAAUUCUAUAAAAUUCUUAAUUCAUCUGAACAGUCUUGAUUCAUGAAAGUUCAUCUUUAUAUUGAUCUGCAGGAAAUCUGAUCAGUAGGGUGAGCUAAUGCCUUGGGAUUAUUAUAUUAAUUUAAUAAUGACAGGAAACAUAUAUCAGCUGCAAGAAGAAACCUAAAAUGAAGUGUCUUUGGGUCUUGCUGUCAAGCUCACCCAUGGCAGACCAUUCGAAAAUGGUGGGUGGCCUCCCGGAAGACUAUCUGCUAGCCUUAGCCUAUCCUAGAUGACUCCAGACAGGCUGAUUUGUGGUAUUUAACUUUUUUACAACCAGUCAAAAGGUAGUACACAUUCAAUUCACUUUCCUCUCCUAGCACAAUGCUACUACAGUCUACACAGGAUCCAGUUCUCUGAGAUAAGGCCAGAGAUAGGACAGCAGACAGCACCUAGCUAGUUGACUGAUUCCAACAGUUCUGUCUGGGGAAAGGACAGUAAGUGCCUGUUUUCCUUCCUGGAUUGUGAUAUACCUUCAUUGUUCAAAUUAUUAGGACAGCAUCAUAAUUUGUGUCAUUCUGUAAAUAAUCUGGUGGUAUGGAUUAGGCCUUUUCAUCUAGUGACUUAUAUAUGACCUUUCAAAGUCCAACCUUGUUUUUUUAAAAAAUGACAAAAUAGAGAACUUGUACUUCCUGACAACUUGAGCUGGAAAUGUCAUUCAGGUUCUAUUAACUAAGCAUAAAAAUAUAUUACUAUCAUGCCCUAGGGAAGAUAAGGGUAUUUUUAGCCUCCUUCCAUUGCUUUAAAAGAAGAAUUUUCUAAAAAAUUCAGAUUAGAGAUAAAUAUCUCUCUUAAUUAUCUAUAACAAUGGAGAAUAGAAAAUUAGGAUCCACAGAUAAUCCACAAUUCUAUCUUAGGAGCAUAUUAAACAUUUGUUCUGAAUGACCUUCUUUGCUUAGCGUGGAAAAUUCAUUUGAAUUUUUUCUGUGACGUGUAUUUAUGACUCUUCCUUUAGUGAUCACCAAUGAAGGAGACACUAACAAAUAUCUGAAAGCACAUCACCAAGAGUCAAAAACUCGCAUCACACGUAAGCAAGUCUUCUUUUGGGUUUUUACCAUACACAUAGCCUCCCUAAAAUAGAGUGAAAGACAAAGCAUUUUGUGUAUUCUGUGAUUGAAUCCAUAAUUGCCUUAAUUAGGGUUUUACUGUUGUGAACAGACACCAUGAUCAAGGCAACUCUUAUAAAGAACAGCAUUUAAUUGGGGCGGGCUUACAGGUUCAGAGGUUCCAUCCACUAUCAUUAAGGCAGGACCUUGGGAGUGUCCAGGAAGGCAUGGUAACAGGAGAAGCUGAGAGUUCUACAUCUUCAUCUGGAGGCUGCUAGGAGGAGAUUAGCUUCCAGGCAGCUAGGAUGAGUAUAUUAAAUCCCACAUCCAGAGUGACACACCUACUUCAACAAAACCACACCGACUAAUGGCGUCACACCCUAGGCCUAGCCAUCCUAAUAAUAAAGGCAAGAUAGCAUUGCCUCUCUGCAAGAAUCAGGCUGCAUCUUUGUCAACCCUAUUUCACAACCGGCACAAUCUAGUACCCAUAUUAAUAAAAUUGUGCUAUUUGAAAGAUAGAGUUGGGGAGAUGGCUCAGGGAGUAAAGUGCUUGCUCUAUAUAUGUGCAUGCCUGUGUUGAGAAGCCACACUCCUGUGUGGAAGAACAAGUCCAAUUGUAGCAACAUAUAGCUGUAAUCCCAGAAUAAGGAGGCAAAACCAGGAGAGUAUAGGGGACAGAGGUAAGCUCACUAUGCAGCUAGUCUAGCCAAUCUGUGAAUUCCAGGUUCAAGAAGAGAUCCUGUCUCAAAAAAAAAAAAAAACCAACAAUAAUAUACAUGAGAAUAGCGAUGGUGAUGAUGGUAAUGAUGGUGAUGUUGGUAAUGAUGGUGAUGAUGAUGAUGAUGGUGAUGAUGAUGAUGAUGUUUAUGACAAUGGUGAUAAGGUAGAAUAAUAGAGGAAGACACAUGGCAAUGACCUGAGAGUGAAAAGGUUACAGGAGAGGUUACUAGGGUAACUGAUACCCUAGUAAUAAUGAUACUUUCUAUGCUUGUAUAAUAUCAUGAAUUGCAUUAUGUGCUAAAUGGGCUAAUCACUCUGUGCUGAUAAAGCUUCAGAAACUAAAAACCCUUCCAGAUUCAGGGUGAACAGAGCAAAAGUUUCUUGUUUGUUUUGCUACAUUCAAACUUCUGUGUCUGGGUUCAGUGUCUGAAAACCAUUUCCUUAUUCAAAGGUUCUUUAUGCUGUGAGGUCUCAGCAGCCACGGCCCUUCCACCUGUCCAGGAACAAUCACAUACAUGGAUUCAGAUAUGUGGAUUUGGGUCUCUUAUUUAGAAUUCUUAAGCAGAAGGGGGAACCAUUUGUCAUUGUCUGCAAUCUUCUUUUCUGUCCCCAAGUCUGCUUGUAAUUUGACUGCAGUUUCCACUAGCAACAUGCUUCCAUAGAGGGUUGUUUUCAGUGAAGGCUUAUAGGCCAGGGGCUCUUGCCACCCUUAAGUACUUAGACUGUUCUCAAACCAAAAGUGGAAAAAACAAAAUCUUUAACUGCUUUCUUCAUGAAGCAAUUUUACAAGUGCUGCCCCUAAGCCUCCCACAUCAAAAUAACCUAAUCUACUUGUUCCAGAAACACAGAAUUCUUAGCCUUGCUUCCAAGCUGGAACCAGGAAAACAGUAUUUCAGCAAGCAAUUCAAAUGAUUCCUUACUUAUCAUAAAGCAUUUUUAAACAGAAACUUCUUUGAGUUUUUAUAUAACUGAUACUCAGACCCUGAUUCUUAAUGUUACACUCUGAAGAAAGCAUGUAUUUCCAUUUCAAUGAAUAAGUUUGAGAUUUACAUGUUUAGUUCUUAUUAUUGAUGAAGAAAAAAUUAUUUUUCUCUUCUAACUCUACACGUUGGCUGGUUACUUGAGAGUAUUAUUUUGUUUUAUAUAUGCCAAAAAAACUGUGUUAAAAGUAAAAUGAAUAUGCUAAUUGUUGCAAUGUACCUGAAAGCCACCUUCCUCAUUUAUUUUAGGUGAAAUUCUAAAACAAAUACAAUCUAUGGUCAAAUCGAUAGGUUCUACAUCUGGGAAUCAAACUGUAAACUGAAAAUAACUUCUUAAAAAUUAUAUCUGAAAAAAUAUAUCUGUACCCAGGCAUGGCGGCAUAAGCCUUUAAUCAUAGCACCCAGGAGUCAAGAGUCAGAAGCAGUUGGAUCUCUGUGAGUUCUAGGCCAACCUGGUGAGCUCCAGGACAGCCAGAGCAAACUGUGACACCUUGUCAAAAAUAAAAGUGUCUAUACACACUUCUUGUCAUUUUAUGAAGUCUUGUAAGUAGUCUAAAGAUGAUUAAUGCAUAGGAAGAUGCGUGCAGAUUAUAUACAAAUAUAAGUUCAUAUACAUAAAAGACUGGAGCAUCCAAGAAUUUUGGUAUCUACUGCAGUACUGGACCUGACCAUCUACUUUUACCAUAGGAUAGCUGUAUUUGAAUUUACAGCUCAAUUUGGGAUUCUUCUUCAAAUGUUAUUGCCUAUUCAGAAUUGUGAGAUGUCCUAUGUGUCUAUGUACAUGCAUGUACACUUAUAUACCAGGUUAUGUUCAGUAGGUAUUUAAGUGUUCCUCCCCAGCAAAGGGCAGCAGCAAACAAGAAGGGAGAGGCAAGCAAUGAAGAAAAACUAGAUCCCCAACUGCCUGACUCAAACUGCCCAUGGAACUCCAUUAACACUAUAAAUGUAAAGACAGAAUACCCAAGAACCUUAGGACAGCAACCACAGAGCAAUCAUUCCAAACUGUAAGGCUUCUCUGAGUUCGACGGCACUGGCUGUCCUUCCUAGGCAGCCUGCCCUGACCAUGAUGUUAUGGAAUGAUGUACAUCGAUUCAACCCAGCCCCUGCUUACACAGAUAUACAUGGAGACUAGUAAUGUCUGCCUCAGACAACUUUCAGCUGGAAGGAUGCACAUCCAAGUAAGUGAAUUAAGUCAGGCUCAGAAAGACAAAUAUUUUCACUGUUUGUAGAUGUGCUAGUGAUACAUCGAAUUGUGCAUGUAUGUGUGCCUGGCAUGGAACCAAAAGUCAAAUGGGAAGAAAGGGAACUAAAGAGAGGGAAAAGGAGAAAAGGAGAAAAGGAUAGCAACAGGAGCAAAGAGAGAAACAUGGUCAAAGUGUAGUUCAUAGUCAAGUGUAAACAUUGCUAUGAAACUCAGUACCAUGUACUAUGAAUAUAUACCAAUUAAAAAGAAAGACAUUGGGGUUGGGGAUUUAGCUCAGUGGUAGAGCGCUUGCCUAGCAAGCGCAAGGCCCUGGGUUCGGUCCCCAGCUCCAAAAAAUAGAAAAGAAAAAAAAAAGAAAGACAUUUUUGAAGUCUCUAAACAACAAAACAAGUUGUCAAAUUCCAGUAGACCUUGCAAAUGUAACAGUUUUCAGUGUUCAUCCCUCCAGGACUGAGUCAGGCAAUGCUCUUCCUAUCAUAAAAGAAUAAAUACCGUGUUUAAAUUGAACAUGAAUUGAGCCACCAGACAUAGUUAUUUUGGUUCCUUGAGAACCAGAGCACACUAUAGCUAGCCUGCAAACUCCGACUCUGUGCUUUGCAGAAAUAAAAACAAUACUCAGGCUGUUUUCACGGGCUCAUAUUUCUUGUUGUAUUACCUAUGCAAAGGACUUUGGCUGGAUAAUUUCAUGACUCAAACACUAAUCCUACACCAAAUAUACACAGAAACUUCUUAGACGAGGAGGGCAACCCUGUAGAAGAACCAUAAGUCUCAAUUUAACCUGGAUCCCCGAGAUCUCUCACACACUGGGUCACCUACCAGGCAGCAUACACCAGAUGAUAUGAGGACCCCAACACAUAUACAGCAAAGGACUACGGGGAUCUGGGUUCAGUCCGUGAAGAUGCAUCUGUUUCUGUUUAACUGAUAUAGUGAUGGAAUGGGUGUUGAGUAUAUCAUAUGCUUUAUAAAUUGUAGAAUGGUAAUAAUUGUACUCAAUUUAUAUAUAAGUGAAAAGGCUUUUUAACUGGACAAAAAGGGGGAAAGGUUGUGGUUUGCCCUGAAGUUAUCUGUAUUUUGAUGCUAAUUCCACUGCCCUGAGGACAGCUGCCUAGUCUCUUACCCAGGAAUCAGGUGACUUCUCCAGAACCUCCUCAUUGAAUUUGUAAAGUACAGGUGAGGGGCAGGUACAGGAUAGAAGGAGGCCUGUCAUUGGAGAAGGAAGGAUGAGCGGGAGAGAAGUUUGAAGGAACAGGAGGAAACAAAAGAAAGGAGAAGAGAGAGGAGGGAAAGAGAAGCCAUGGCAGGUGAUGUUAAGAUUCUGCUGUGUAUUUACAGGUUGUUAUUAAUGUUCCUAAGGGAUGGAUGGUACCGGGCUUUGCAUGUUUAAGUGGGCAAUUAUAUCUUAUCAAUUGGAUCUAAGAUUAUUGUGUUGUGUGUUCUUUUAUGUGAGGGUUCGAGUGUAGCAAAGUGUGCAGCUGGGAUGUGUUUCCGCCAAGAUAUCUAGCAGAUAUCUUGGGGCACCAUGGUGCAGGACCUAGCAGGGUAAAAGACCAUUAUACUUUUCUUUAUUUUUUAUCUUUUUACAACAACAUCUAACCCUCAAGAGACUGGAGACCCCAGGGAGUUUCGAGGUCUGGUGAGGUGGGUAGGGUGGCACAUCCUUGUGAAGAUAGGGGCGGAGCUGGAUGGAGAUAGGGGAUGUGGAACAGUGAGAGGGUGGAUUGGAAGGAGAAUAAUAUCUGGAGUUUAAAAAUAAUUUUCUUUAAAAAGUGAUAUUCCUAGAGGUCAUUCUCCAGGAUUCUAUCUGCAGUAAAGGCAGUAUCCUCUAUUCCCAUCACUCGAGGAAAGAUUCUGCCAUAUGCAUUCCCUGAAACGGAAACACUGACCACUUUCUCAAGUAUUUAAUAACUGUGUUCAACUUCCGUGGAGGGGAGUUGUAAUUCUGGGCAACCACUUCACAGUUUCAAUAGAGAAGUCAAUAACUUUACUCUGGUAAUAUAACUAAGAAUGAAAAAUGAAUGUUAAGUAAUCGGAACUCCUAUUGAGAGCUUAGAUUUUACUCAAUGAGAUCGUGACUGUUUGUAAUUUGAGGAUGAGAUUUCUGCUUUUGCAUUUUGAUUUAAGAGUUGCAUAAUAAUGGAUCUUGAUAAAUAAUGAUCUCCCAGAAAAUUUCAUUUUCUGCACCAUUUUAUUAUCUACAAGAGGUUUGAUUUUUUUAUAUUAAUAAACCCUGUCAUUUGUUGUAAAAAAAAUAGAAAUAAAGAAAAUAGAAGCAAGUGUUUAACAUGAUCAUGCAGAAUCCUAUAAUAUUUUACAUUUAAUUAUUUCACAACUUAUUAAGGGCUGGUAUUUAAAAGGACUACCACCAUCUCCUAUCAAAUUAUUACUCCAAGUUCUCUCAGUGAGAGCCCUAUCCCAAAGAAGAUAACAGCUAUGCUGAAGGAAUCUUAUGAUCUUCUAGAUACUUCCCUGAAAUAAACAAUUUCAAUACGUGAAUGAACUCUAUCCUAUUCCUUCUAUAACUAAAGGCUAAAGGACCUCAACUAGUUGCCAGAGGAAAAUGGAGCAAAACAAAGCCUUAUAGCUCAUUUAUGCUUUUGUACUUCAGGAUCUUCUCAUCCCUUUUCUCAAUUCUAUAUUUAUAAAAUAAUGAUGCCAAUUUAUAGGGUGUGUUUGUUGGUUGCUUGGUUAGGUUUUUUUGAAACAAGGUCUCUCUACAUACAUCUGGCUGUCCUAGAACUCACUAUGAACACCAAGCUGGACAGUACUAAAAGAGAUCCACCUGCCUCUGCCAUCCAAGAGCUAGGAUUAAAGGCAUGUAAAAAACAUGCCCCAAUUAGCUUUUACAUUGUUAAUGCAGAAUCGCUACAAUAAUAGAAUUCUUACUACACAAAAGUCAUAACAAAUCGGUAGUAUUUUGGGACUAAGCUUAUUUCAUAAUAAAAAAUAAUUCCAGGUUUGUUGUGUUUAUGAAGAAUACAGAAUGACAUUAGCUCCUUAGCAUAGACUACAAGUCUAUAGUAAUUUAAAUUCACUUCCAGCAAUAUUAAUAGCAAUAGUAUUUGUCUUAGUUAGGGUUUCAUUGCUGUGAAGAGAUACUAUGACCAAGGAAACUCUUAUAAAGACAAUAUUUAAUUGAGACAGGCUUACAGGUUCAGAGGUUCAGUCCAUUAUCAUGAUGGUAGGAAACAUGGUAGCAUUCAGGCAGACAUGGUGCUGGAGAGGGAGCGAAGAGUUCUACAUCUUGAUCUCAAGGCAGUCAGGAGAAGAGUCAGCAGCUAGAAGGAGGGUCUCAAAGCCUAUCCCCACAGUGACACAGGUCUUCUAACACGGCCACAGCUACUAAUAGUGCCAUUCCUUGGGCCAAGCGUAUUCCAACCACUAUAAUAUUUUAGUUAUAAAUUCCAGACCAUCAAAUUAUCUUAUAUAAUUGAACAAGAGUUUCCAAGUCUGUGACUGGAAAGAAAGAAAGUUCAGAGAGCAAGAGAGGGGAGGAGAGGGCAGUCGUGGCUAAUGCAAUCACAGUGCAUUAAAUAUCUUAGGAAAUUAUCAAAAAAUAAAUCAAUUUUUAAAAGAGUUUCCAAAUGUCACAGUCUUUUAUCUCUGCUUCUUUGUCAGCUUCAUAAUCAAACUUUCAUUAUCUUUGUAGAAAUGAGGCACUUCCCAGGAAGUCAUCCUUUUAUAACAUCCCCCAUCAAAUCACAGUAAGGAAUCAGGUGUUCUUGUCAUCCCCCCAUCAAAUGAUAACCCCUAGUUAUUUUGGAACUACGGUUUAGUGAUGCCAAGAGAAUAAAAACUUCUUUCCCAACAAAGAAAACAAAAACCCAUCAACAGAGCCUCAUUAGAUCUACCUGUUGUUCAACCUAAGGCCAAAACCUGUUGUUCACCACCUAGAAGCCCCCCCCAAAAAAUGAAAGGCCAGUGUCUGAGGGAAUGAGAUGGAGAGGAGGCAGCUCUCUGGAGGUAAUUUGAGUGAAAAGCAGGGAGAGAGGAAAAUGAAGUGUACCUGGGAGUUGGCCUCUGAAAUUUAACAGUAGAAAAUUAUUUCUCUAAAAGGACCCAAACCUAUCUAGAUAACUUAGUUAUUAAUUAGAUUAUUAUUAUUUUAAAUUAUUAUUUCUUGUUGAAAGCAUGUUACAUGUUAUAUAACAAUUUUAUUGUCUUUUGGAAAUACUGCAUAUCCUUCAAUUAAAUGAUACUUAGGUUAGCUUUUAUUAAAUUACACUGAAUAAUUUCAUCUCUGUGACUUAUAGUAGAUUAGGUAUUAUUUUAUGACAUAGUUAUCAGGAUUAGAAAAUACUUUUAUCUCUAAAUCAUAAUUAGCUCUGCAUUUCUAUUUGAUUAUUAAUAUUUUUACAAAAUUGAUUCUGCCUGUGUAAAUACUACCUGGAAAUAAUUUUUUUUGAAAUUAUUAGACAUCUCCCAGGAAAGUAAGUAUGCUCACUUGAGAUCUCAGGAUUCAAACUUCCAAAAAGGUUUACUCAGUAAAGAAUGAUGCUAUACCUGGCCUUCACUGAAAGAAUUAAUAAAUAAAAUCUGAUUUAUAUACACAAUGGAGUAGUGUUUUAGCCCUAAAAGGAAUGAAAAAUGAAGUUAUUUUCAGAAAAGAAAUGUAUUCAAUAGGGGAUAUUCAUAUUAAUUGUAUUAAGUCACUCUCAGAAAGACAACUAUCAUGUUAUCCAUCCUAGAUUUUUUGAUUAAUUAUAAUAUUUCUCCCUUCCUUUUCCUACCUCCAAGGACUCCCAUUGACCAUCCACCCUUCUCUCUGUCAGAUUCAUAGCCUUUCUUUUCUUCAAUUGUUUUUGUAUGCACUUAUGUCCCUGUAUGUAGAUUGAUAUUCUCAAAUACAACCUCUCAGUCUGUACAAUGUUACUUGUAUGGGGGUUUGAAUAUGCUUUGCCCAGAGAGUGGCACUAUUAGGAAGUGUGUCCUUGUUGGAUUAUGUGUGGCCUUGUUGGAGAAAGUUUGUCACUGUGAGAAUGGACUUUGAAACUUUCCUCCUAUCUGCCUCAAAGAGCAUAGUCUCCUUUCUCCCUUAGGAGUAGGAUGUAGAACUCUCAGUUCCUCCAGCGUCAUGCCUACCUGGAUGCUGCCUUGCUGUUUGCCAUAAUAAUAUUAGACCCAACCUCAGAACCAGUAAGCCAGACUCAAUUAAAUGUUAUCCUUUAUAAGAGUUGCCUUGGUCAUUGUCAUGGUUUGAAUAUGCUUGGCCCAAGGAAUUGCACUAUUUGGAGGUGUGGCCUUGUUGGAAUAGGUAUGUCAUUGUGAGCUUGAGCAUUAAGACUCUCAUCUCAGCUGGCUGGAAGUCAGUAUUUUGUUAGCAGCCUUCAGAUGAAGAUACAGAACUCUCAGCUCUGCCUGCACCAUUCCUGCCUGGACACUGCCAUGCUCCUCCUGCCUUGAUGAUAAUGGACUGAACCUUGGAACCUGUAAGCCAGCCCCCAAUUAAAUGUUGUCCUUAUAAGAAUUGCCUUGGUCAUGGUGUCUGUUCACAGCAGUAAAACCCUAAGACAGAAGUUGGUACCAGGGAGUGUGGUAUUGCUAUGAUAGGUUUGACCACACUUUUCUUUGGAAGAAUGUGGUUAUGGGAUUUUGGAUUUGGAAAGCAAUGAAAUGCUUUAAAUGGGGUUUAAUGGGCUAUCCCAGUAGAAACCUGGAAGAUUUUGUUACUGAAAGUGAUUUGAAUUUUGCAGACCUGGUCCAAGAGGUUUCAGUGGAGAAUUUCAAUAUGUGGCCUAGAGACUGUUUUUAUAGUAUUUUGGUGAAGAAUAUGGCUACUUUUUUGCCUUUGUUUGAAUAAUCUCCCUGAGGCUAAGGUAAAGAGACUCAGACUAAUCACACUGACAAAGGAAGUCUCAGAAACACCCAUCAUAGACUUGUUCUCUGGUUAGGUUUCAUGAAGAGCAUUUUAAACAAGCACAGCAAAGCUUUGAAAGGAAAAAUAUAAAAUAAAUAGUUUGAGUAUUAAAGAGACCCAAGAAGUGAAAUGGAGCUGAAUCCUGUGUUCAAUGAUGUUAAAUUGAAUUAAGGGAGUAAUGACCUAGGGGCAAGAUCCCACCCAGCUAAGUUUAGGUCCAGGCAUAGUAGUAUAAGCCUUUAAUCCCAGUAGGCAAAGCCAAACAUAUCUUUGAAUUCAAGACCAGCCUAGGAAAAAACAGGUUCUGAGUGAAGAAAUCUUAAAUCCAGGCAUGGUGGUAUACCCCCAUUAAUCCCAGCAUUACAAUAGACAGCCAUGCAAAUCUCUGAAUUCAAGGUCGAUCUACAUAGCAAGUUCCAGGACAGCCAAGCUUAGGCAGUGAAGGAGUUAGAAAACAGAAAGCUGAUGAUAAUAAAAUAGAACAAGGGGGCCAUGUUCCAGCCCCAGCAAACACUGGAAUUUAACAGCUUUGGCCACAUGACACUGGUUUUAGAGUCCAGAAUAGAAAAGACUACUGGGACAAUUGAUUCUGGUUAGCUGGAGCUAAGAAAUUGUGAUUAAGAAAAGACCAGCGACCCAAAUCCCGUGGGAGGGAGAGCUAAACCUUCAGAGAGGCAGAUACUCCUGGGAAGCCAAAAGAGACUACACUCUGCCCACAUUUCUGACUCCAGAGGAAAACACCAAACACCAUCUGGGAGCCUGGUGCACUGGGGCUCCUGAAAAAGGCUGUGCAGGUCCUCCUGAUUUCUGCCCUCGCUGAGAGCUCAAAAGCAACAAUCACAAGGAAACUUGAGCCGCGGGACCGCAGGUAAUACCAACUUUUCUGCUCCAAGCGACCUUCCUGGUAGACUCAGGAUACAGGCCCACAGGAACAGUUGAAGACCUGUAGACAGGAAAAACUACAUGCCUGAAAGCAGAACACUCUGUUCACACAACUGGCUGAAAGAAAACAGGAAAACAGGUCUACAGCACUCCGGACACACAGGCCUAUAGGACAGUCUAGCCACUGUCAGAAAUAGCAACUGAGAUAAUCUGAUGGUGAGAGGCAAGCGCAGGAACCCAAGCAACAGAAACCAAGACUACAUGGCAUCAGAGCCCAAUUCUCCCACCAAAACAAACACUGAAUAUCCAAACACACCAAAAAAGCAAGAUCUAGAUUUAAAAUCAUAUUUGAUCAUGAUGCUGGAGGACUUCAAGAAAGACAUGAAGAACUCCCUUAGAGAAACACAGGAAAACAUAAAUAAACAAGUAGAAACCUAAAGAGAGGAAUCACAGAAAUGCCUGAAAGAAUUCCAGGAAAACACAAUCAAACAGUUGAAGGAAUUAAAAAUGGAAAUAGAAGCAAUGAAGAAAGAGCACAGGGAAACAACCCUGGAUACAGAAAACCGAAGGAAGAGACAAGGAACCGUAGAUACAAGCAUCACCAACAGAAUACAAGAGAUAGAAGAGAGAAUCUCAGGAGCAGAAGAUUCCAUAGAAAUCAUUGACACAAUUGUCAAAGAUAAUGUAAAGCAGAAAAAGCUACUGGUCCAAAACAGGAUAUCCAGGACUCAAUGAGAAGAUCAAACCGAAGGAUAAUAGAUAUAGAAGAGAGUGAAGACUCCCACCCAAAGGACCAGUAAGUAUCUUCAACAAAAUCAUAGAAAAAAACUUCCCUAACGUAAAGAAAGAGGUGCCCAUAAGCAUACAAGAAGCCAACAUAACUCAAAAUAGAUUGGACCAGAAAAGAAACUCCUCCCGUCACAUAAUAGUCAAAACACCAAAAGCACAAAAUAAAGAAAGAGUAUUGAAAGCAGUAAGGGGAAAAGGUCAAGUAACAUAUAAUGACAGACCUAUCAGAAUCACACCAGACUUCUUGCCUGAGAGAAAAAGCCAGAAGAUUCUGGACACAUAACAUACAUAACCUAAGAGAACACAAAUGCCAGCCCAGGUUAGUGUAUCCUGCAAAACUCUCAAUUAACAUAGAUGGAGAAACCAAGAUAUUCCAAAAAACCAAAUUUACACAAUAUCUUUCUACAAAUCCAGCACUACAAAGGAUAAUAAAUGGUAAAGCCCAACAUAAGGAGGCAAGCUACACCCUAGAAGAAGCAAGAAACUAAUAGUGUUGGCAACAAAACAAAAAGAAGAAACGCACACAAACAUAACCUCACAUCCAAAUAUGAAUAUAACAGGAAGUAAUAAUCACUAUUCCUUAAUAUCUCUCAACAUCAAUGGCCUCAACUCCCCAAUAAAAAGACAUAGAUUAACAAACUGGAUACGCAAAGAGGCUCCUGCAUUCUGCUGCCUACAGGAAACACACCUCAGAGACAAAGACAGACACUACCUCAGAGUGAAAGGCUGGAAAACAACUUUCCAAGCAAAUGGUCAGAAGAAUCAAGCUGGAGUAGUCAUUCUAAUAUCGAAUAAAAUCAAUUUUCAACUAAAA